AGAGUUUGAUUCUGGCUCAGGAUGAACGCUGGCGGCGUGCCUAACACAUGCAAGUCGAACGAAGCGCGCGGACGGAAUUCCCUCGGGAAGGAAGGCCGCGCGACUGAGUGGCGGACGGGUGAGUAACGCGUGGGCAACCUGCCCUGCACAGGGGGACAACAGCCGGAAACGGCUGCUAAUACCGCAUAAGCGCACAGCUUCGCAUGAAGCGGUGUGAAAAGCUGCGGCGGUGCAGGAUGGGCCCGCGUCUGAUUAGCUGGUUGGCGGGGCAACGGCCCACCAAGGCGACGAUCAGUAGCCGGCCUGAGAGGGUGGACGGCCACAUUGGGACUGAGACACGGACCAGACUCCUACGGGAGGCAGCAGUGGGGAAUAUUGCACAAUGGGGGAAACCCUGAUGCAGCGACGCCGCGUGAGCGAAGAAGUAUUUCGGUAUGUAA
rnacentral:rRNA from 1 species